rnacentral:piRNA from 1 species
ACUAGAGGCUUUUGAUUAUUGGUGUU